GACGAACGCUGGCGGCGUGCCUAAUACAUGCAAGUAGAACGCUGAAGGAGGAGCUUGCUCUUCUGGAUGAGUUGCGAACGGGUGAGUAACGCGUAGGUAACCUGCCUGGUAGCGGGGGAUAACUAUUGGAAACGAUAGCUAAUACCGCAUAACAGUAGAUAUCGCAUGAUAGCUGCUUGAAAGGUGCAAUUGCACCACUACCAGAUGGACCUGCGUUGUAUUAGCUAGUUGGUGAGGUAACGGCUCACCAAGGCGACGAUACAUAGCCGACCUGAGAGGGUGAUCGGCCACACUGGGACUGAGACACGGCCCAGACUCCUACGGGAGGCAGCAGUAGGGAAUCUUCGGCAAUGGACGGAAGUCUGACCGAGCAACGCCGCGUGAGUGAAGAAGGUUUUCGGAUCGUAAAGCUCUGUUGUAAGAGAAGAACGAGUGUGAGAGUGGAAAGUUCACACUGUGACGGUAUCUUACCAGAAAGGGACGGCUAACUACGUGCCAGCAGCCGCGGUAAUACGUAGGUCCCGAGCGUUGUCCGGAUUUAUUGGGCGUAAAGCGAGCGCAGGCGGUUAGAUAAGUCUGAAGUUAAAGGCUGUGGCUUAACCAUAGUACGCUUUGGAAACUGUUUAACUUGAGUGCAAGAGGGGAGAGUGGAAUUCCAUGUGUAGCGGUGAAAUGCGUAGAUAUAUGGAGGAACACCGGUGGCGAAAGCGGCUCUCUGGCUUGUACUGACGCUGAGGCUCGAAAGCGUGGGGGAGCGAACAGG
rnacentral:rRNA from 1 species